GCUGAAGAGCGCCGUUUGUGUUUUUCCUUCCCUCGUACGCCCGGCUCCCGGCCACAGCGCGAAGGCGGCGGCGGCCAGGAAGAUCAGCCGAGGGCAGAGGAGCGGGAGAAGCGGAGGAGAUGAAAUAUCCAUAACUUUCAUUUCUGCUUUAUGAACAAGAGAAGGGACCUAUCAACUCCCUGAAAAGAGUGAAUUAUCAUCAAACCAAGGCAGAAUUCCUGUUGUAAAGCCUCUGCAAGAAAAGAGCACCGUGAAAGCUGGUCUGCUUGAGGCUGCUGUCCUACUUUGUCAAUACUUUCCUAGUCUUAGCGAGUGAUGUCACAGCAUCUCUGACAUUCAGACCCCAGUAAUCCACUAGGUGUGUAUCUUGCUUGGUUUUCUCUGCAUGCUUUGUGAUAUGGCAUGGGUGAUAA
rnacentral:lncRNA from 1 species